rnacentral:lncRNA from 1 species
GAGGAGGCAGAGAAUAGAGAUCCUCUUAUCUGGCUUUGUCUUGUUCUUUGAUCCUUGGGCCCCAACCCAAGGCAUGAUGUCACUCACAUGGGGAGGUCUUGCAUCCUUAAUUAAUCUCUGGAAACACUCUUACAGAUGAGACCAGAAUUACAUCUCGCAGGAGACUCAAAAUCCAGUCAAGUUGACAAUGAAGGUUCAUCAUUACAUCUACAUAGUGGUGCUAUAGUGUGUGAAGAGACACAAGAGCUGGGACAAGCGGUACAAGGCCCCAUCUGCUUCAUCCAAGGCCCUCUCGUCUGGAUCCUCUGAGCAGCUCCAUCACUGUCAAAGCGCAUAAAUGGCAUGUAGUCCACAUGGCCAACAAUGCAGACAUGCGAAUCUUGAAGACCGGGUUGAGACGAGGUGGUGGUUACCAAAUACUGCAUGAAGUGUGAACCUGCAGACAGAGCCAGAGAGCUGUGAGACCCCGAGCUCUUCCUGGGAUCUCCGGUGGGUGCGUG